GUGUAUCGCUUCGCUUUCAUCGGUGACUUUAGUGUGAAUUGCAACUAAGGCACGCGGUGAAUGCCAAGCGAACGGGC
rfam:Ancylostoma duodenale strain Zhejiang A_duodenale-1.0_Cont5463.1, whole genome shotgun sequence.